AAGACUGUUAGCGUCAGCACCCACUCUUGGUCCCAAGUAGAACCUGGCAUACCUGGCAAGAACUGGCAGAACGAGCCUCUGACAACAGGUCCCCUCAGAUCCUUACAGAAGGGGUGGAGCCAGUUAGCAGCAGCACCCGCUCUCAGUCCCGAGAGGAACCUGGCAAACCUGACAAGAACUGGGAGGGCGAGUCUCUGACAACAGGUUUUCUGACUACGAGGCGCUAAGAUGGUCAACCCCAAGGAAUCUCCCAGACCCCCAGUGGACGCUGUGCUCAGCAAUAAUCGACCCAGCUGCCUUUUAAAGCCAACUCAGUGCUGACCUGUCUGUGAGUGCAUGAGGACUUGUUGUCAUUAAAGGGUUUAAACUGAACACGCAUGUCUGUGUGUGUGUCUGCCCCAUAUGUACAGUGGAACCUCGGGUCA